rfam:Mesocricetus auratus contig015313, whole genome shotgun sequence.
GUCUACGGCCAUACCACCCUGAACGUGCCUGAUCUCGUCUGAUCUCGGAAGCUAAGCAGGGUCCGGCCUGGUUAGUACUUGGAUGGGAGAGAAGACAUACAUUUGUCUUUCUGGAUCUGCCUUCC